CCCUGGCUCAGGACGAACGCUGGCGGCGUGCCUAAUACAUGCAAGUCGAGCGGAUCUUGUCCUUCGGGACAAGGUUAGCGGCGGACGGGUGAGUAACACGUGGGUAACCUGCCUGUAAGACUGGGAUAACAUUCGGAAACGAAUGCUAAUACCGGAUACGCAGCUUGGUCGCAUGACCGAGCUGGGAAAGAUGGAGCAAUCUAUCACUUAUAGAUGGACCCGCGGCGCAUUAGCUAGUUGGUGAGGUAACGGCUCACCAAGGCGACGAUGCGUAGCCGACCUGAGAGGGUGAUCGGCCACACUGGGACUGAGACACGGCCCAGACUCCUACGGGAGGCAGCAGUAGGGAAUCUUCCGCAAUGGACGAAAGUCUGACGGAGCAACGCCGCGUGAGUGAUGAAGGUUUUCGGAUCGUAAAGCUCUGUUGCCAGGGAAGAAUGCUUGGGAGAGUAACUGCUCCCAAGGUGACGGUACCUGAGAAGAAAGCCCCGGC
rnacentral:rRNA from 1 species